CCAUUAGAUGUUCUGGGCCGCACGCGCGCUACACUGAUGCAUUCAACGAGUCUAAAACCUGCUCUGAUAGGGGUGGGUAAUCUUUUGAAUGUGCAUCGUGAUUGGGAUAGAUGAUUGCAAUUUUUCAUCUUCAACGAGGAAUGCCUAGUAAACGCAAGUCAUCAGCUUGCAUUGAUUACGUCCCUGCCCUUUGUACACACCGCCCGUCGCUCCUACCGAUUGAAUGAUCCGAUGAAUAUCAUGGAUUGAGGAUGUAAGCAGGUUCGCCUGUCUUCAUCUUCGAGAAGUGAAGUAAAUCUUAUCAUUUAGAGGAAGGAGAAGUCGUAACA
rnacentral:rRNA from 1 species